rnacentral:rRNA from 1 species
GACUCAACACGGGAAAACUCACCCGGCCCGGACACCGUAAGGAUUGACAGAUUGAGAGCUCUUUCUUGAUUCGGUGGUUGGUGGUGCAUGGCCGUUCUUAGUUGGUGGAGCGAUUUGUCUGGUUUAUUCCGAUAACGAACGAGACUCUGGCCUACUAAAUAGAGACAGGAUUAUUACUGUCCUGGAUUCUUCUUAGAGGGACAAGUGGUUUUCAGCCACACGAAAUUGAGCAAUAACAGGUCUGUGAUGCCCUUAGAUGUCCGGGGCUGCACGAGCGCUACACUGAAGGAAUCAGCGUGCUAAAACCAUUGUCGAAAGGCAUUGGUAAACCCCUCAAAAUCCUACGUGAUUGGGAUCGGGAAUUGCAAUUAUUUCCCUUGAACGAGGAAUUCCCAGUAAGUGUGGGUCAUAAGCUCGCGUUGAUUACGUCCCUGCCCUUUGUACACACCGCCCGUCGCUGCCCGGGACUGAGCCGUUUCGAGAAAAGCGGGGACUGCUGCUGUCGGGGCUUUCGGGCCUUGGCUUCGGUGGAAACCGCUUUAAUCGCAGUGGCUUGAACCGGGCAAAAGUCGUAACAAGGUUUCCGUAGGUGAACCUGCGGAAGGAUC